CAUCACUCAAAAAAAAUAAAUAAAUAAAAAAAAACGAGAUCAUCAUCAAUCAUCUUUGUGUGGCCUUUGAUAAUACGUAAUAGAUAGUCCUAAUAACACAAGAACAUAAGUACGAUGACGCUGCAGCAGAGCAACAAGACUCCCGUGACGUUGACUGUCGGUGUGGCGAGAAGAGGCCCUUGGUGCCCCUGCCAAGGGAAAUGCCUGUCUACGUCGCCCCCUUUGUGAGGCGGCGGAAUAUAGAUGUGCAGAAGUACAAGGUAUAUACGGAAAACAAAAAACAUGUGAAGCAUACUUCAUACAUGGAUGGAUAAGGUCCCUGUACAAAGAUGCUGGACUACAGGCGGUGUACCCUGAGCUGUGAAGCAAAUAGUAUCCUGGCUGAUGUUCACAUCACUCCCCUGGAUUACCUGCCCUCUGCAUCAUUCCUUCAUUCCAACAAGAUGAACUCAGUCGCUGCCCUGGCUGGCAACAAUGAACACCACACCCGCAAGGUUCCACAAAUCUUCUUCAAACUUGGACAAGCAUUUUUCUGUGAAAACAUAUAGAAGUGAAGUCUGGUGUAAAACCUGUAUCCUACCACUAGAGUGGUGUUCCGAUUGGCAAAAACGUCCCAUCACCUGUGACUUGUGUAAACUAAACGAGUGGCAUGCAACACUCCUCCACAAUACUGAUGACUCAAAACUAUAAAGAUGAGUGGUCAACAGCCACCAAUUCCAACAACUACCAAAGGAUUCAAGAUCUACCCAAGAACCUACAUAAUAUGGAUGAGCACUCACAGUACCCAACUGACAUCUACACUCAGGAAGUUUUUUACAUCCCUGACAAUGACUUCAAAAUUCGUGACAGAAUGGGAACCCAGCCUACAACUGCAUCAACUGGAGAUACCAAGAGAGAGAGAGAGAGAGAGAAUUUUGCAAUAACUAAUAUAAAAGAAAAAGGCAAAGGAAAAGAGCAAGAGGAGGAGGAUCCAAAGAAGCGAUUGCAACAAAGCUAUGAAGAUCAGAAGUGGAGAAGCAAUGGCUCCCAAUAAAUCUUGCCCCACAUUCCACUGCACCAAGAUAAACUUUACAGCUUUCACAGCACUUCAAUCCAAGAGCCAUAUUCUGAAAUGCUUUGCACUCUAUUUAGGAUGAUUUUCAAACAUCAGCAGAAUCAUGUGGCGAGUUCUCGUGGAUAGUUUUUCCCACUGACCAUACAGCAUCACUAAAAUCAUGAAAACACUCUCCAAAAGUCCAACUUCACUUUUGAGAACCUGUUAGAAAUGAUCAAAACAAGUCACCUCAAUGUUUAAUUCUGGAAAAUCCAGAUCCAUUUUGUUUACAUAUUGCUGGUAGCUUUCUAAUAUAACCUUAGAAGAUGAAAAAUCAGCAUCGAUUUCCAUAAAUUUAU